AUUGAACGCUGGCGGCAGGCUUAACACAUGCAAGUCGAACGAGUGGCGGACGGGUGAGUAAUGCUUGGGAAUCUAGCUUAUGGAGGGGGAUAACUACGGGAAACUGUAGCUAAUACCGCGUACCAUAGGAUGAGCCCAAGUGGGAUUAGGUAGUUGGUGAGGUAAAGGCGCACCAAGCCGACGAGCUCUAGCUGGUCUGAGAGGAUGACCAGCCACACUGGGAAUGAGACGCGGCCCAGAAGCCUACGGGAGGCAGCAGUGGGGAAUAUUGCACAAUGGGCGAAAGCCUGAUGCAGCCAUGCCGCGUGUAUGAAGAAGGCCUUAGGGUUGUAAAGUACUUUCAGGCGGGAGGCGUUACCGACAGAAUAAGCACCGGCUAACUCCGUGCCAGCAGCCGCGGUAAUUC
rnacentral:rRNA from 1 species